UACGAAGGGGGCUAGCGUUGUUCGGAAUUACUGGGCGUAAAGCGCACGAAGGCGGAUCGAUCAGUCAGGGGUGAAAUCCCAGAGCUCAACUCUGGAACUGCCUUUGAUACUGUCGAUCUAGAGUACGGAAGAGGUGAGUGGAACUGCGAGUGUAGAGGUGAAAUUCGUAGAUAUUCGCAAGAACACCAGUGGCGAAGGCGGCUCACUGGCCCGAUACUGACGCUGAGGCACGAAAGCGUGGGGAGCAAACAGG
rnacentral:rRNA from 1 species